rnacentral:rRNA from 1 species
CAGUCGCCGCGGUAAUACGAAGGGUGCAAGCGUUAAUCGGAAUUACUGGGCGUAAAGCGUGCGUAGGCGGUGAGUUAAGUCUGCUGUGAAAUCCCCGGGCUCAACCUGGGAAUGGCAGUGGAUACUGGCUCGCUUGAGUGCGUCAGAGGAUGGUGGAAUUCCCGGUGUAGCGGUGAAAUGCGUAGAGAUCGGGAGGAACAUCAGUGGCGAAGGCGGCCAUCUGGGACAACACUGACGCUGAGGCACGAAAGCGUGGGGAGCAAACAGGAUUAGAUACCCCCGUAGUCCCUGUCUCUUAUAC